GACGAACGCUGGCGGCGUGCCUAAUACAUGCCAGUCGAGCGGACUGAAUGGGAGCUUGCUCUUGUUCGGUCAGCGGCGGACGGGUGAGUAACACGUGGGCAACCUGCCCGCAAGACCGGGAUAACUCCGGGAAACCGGAGCUAAUACCGGAUAACACCGAAGACCGCAUGGUCUUUGGUUGAAAGGCGGCGCAAGCUGCCACUUGCGGAUGGGCCCGCGGCGCAUUAGCUAGUUGGUGAGGUAACGGCUCACCAAGGCGACGGUGCGGAGCCGGCCUGAGAGGGUGACCGGCCACACUGGGACUGAGACACGGCCCAGACUCCUACGGGAGGCAGCAGUAGGGAAUCUUCCGGAAUGGGCGAAAGCCUGACGGAGCGACGCCGCGUGAGCGAAGAAGGCCUUCGGGUCGUAAAGCUCUGUUGUGAGGGACGAAGGAGCGCCGUUUGAAGAAGGCGGCGCGGUGACGGUACCUCACGAGGAAGCCCCGGCUAACUACGUG
rnacentral:rRNA from 1 species